rnacentral:rRNA from 1 species
CAUCUCAAUCAGUAGACUACCCGCUGACUAAGCUAUCAUAGCGANGA